rnacentral:rRNA from 1 species
GAUGAACGCUGGCGGCGUGCCUAAUACAUGCAAGUCGAGCGAACGGACGAGAAGCUUGCUUUUCUGAUGUUAGCGGCGGACGGGUGAGUAACACGUGGAUAACCUACCUAUAAGACUGGGAUAACUUCGGGAAACCGGAGCUAAUACCGGAUAAUAUUUUGAACCGCAUGGUUCAAAAGUGAAAGACGGUCCUGCUGUCACUUAUAGAUGGAUCCGCGCUGCAUUAGCUAGUUGGUAAGGUAACGGCUUACCAAGGCAACGAUGCAUAGCCGACCUGAGAGGGUGAUCGGCCACACUGGAACUGAGACACGGUCCAGACUCCUACGGGAGGCAGCAGUAGGGAAUCUUCCGCAAUGGGCGAAAGCCUGACGGAGCAACGCCGCGUGAGUGAUGAAGGUCUUCGGAUCGUAAAACUCUGUUAUUAGGGAGGAACAUAUGUGUAAGUAACUGUGCACAUCUUGACGGUACCUAAUCAGAAAGCCACGGCUAACUACGUG